UACAACAUAGCAUUAAUGCACCAGAUCCCAUUAGAACUCUGCAGUCAAGUGCACUCAUGCUAGACUAUUACUGGAAUGGGUGACCACCCGGGAAGUCCUUGUGUUUUAC
rnacentral:rRNA from 1 species